rnacentral:rRNA from 1 species
UACGUAGGGGGCUAGCGUUGUCCGGAAUCAUUGGGCGUAAAGAGCGUGUAGGCGGCUCAGUAAGUCCGCUGUGAAAGUCCAGGGCUCAACCCUGGAAUGCCAGUGGAAACUGUUGAGCUAGAGUCCGGAAGAGGCGAGUGGAAUUCCUGGUGUAGCGGUGAAAUGCGUAGAUAUCGGAAGGAACACCAGUGGCGAAAGCGGCUUCCUGGUCCAGCACCGACGUUCAGGCACGAAAGCGUGGGGAGCAAACAGG